rnacentral:lncRNA from 1 species
UGCAAUAAUAGUUUUAUAAAGUUUAUUUGCCGCAUGUAUUUCAUUUUAGAAAAUGAAAUCUCUUUUUAAAAUUUGGACCCUGGAUCGUAAGAAAAAAAGCUUCAUUGUUGUUGAUGAUGAGGAGUGGCGAUUUGUAUGCCGAACUUAUUUUAAAAGCCUCCGCAAAUUUCGGAAUUAAUGGAUCAUCAUUGGUCUUGGAAGAAGAUGGAACGCCUAUAGACAACAAAUGUUUAAGUUUCGUUAAAGAAAAAACUUUUACUUUAUUGGCCAAGGACGAAAAGUGGUUCAAAAUAUCGUCCGAGUGUGGCAGUACAUCAUCUUCAAUGGCCACUACCGUAACUGUGGAAUCCGACUAUUCGAAACUCACAGCCUCAGACGCAACGGGUAAUUCUUCUAUAGAAAUAACAACAGUUACUGAUUGUAACACCGAGUAUUAUUGGCACGCUUUUGAAAUUCCUUAUGAAGCUCUAAGUAAGCAACAUAAGCAAUUACUGGAAAAUGGAGUGUGCCCUAAGCAAGUAAAAUCUAACUUGGUUCAUCUGAUUGUAAAUAAAAUGAGGUCGUUAAAAAAAAUAUACCAAGCAAAGCAUUCAAAAUAAUAAGCAAAAAAUUGAUUGACAAAUAUCCUGUGGCUCUAAGGGAUAUCGACGAGGAUGGAAUUGUGUUAGGAGAUGGAACGCAUUCUCUUAUGCACAAACUACAGGAACGCAACAAUUAUCUAAACAGGCCGCAUAAAAAUACUAAUUGGCUUUCUGAAAAUCCAGUUAAAACAAAAAAAAAGACAAGUUAGUGCAAGUGCAGGUUGCACUAAUUGGUCUCCUCAGUUACCAGCUAUAUCAGAAGAAUAUAAAAGCCGGGAAGAAAUUUCAUCGAUAACAGAAGAAAAUUUUGUAGAUGUAAUGGAAAAAGUUAUGCCGAACAAAGGCAAUUUCUGAACAGGCUUUCCCCACCAUCCAUAACAGAAAUACAAGAGGAUUGGCCAAUUCUUCUUUCUAAAAAGGGAAUUUUUUGGUACUUUUCAAAACUAACAAGCUGCGAUAUACACUUAUUAGAUCAGAGUAAAGGAAAAAUUGAAAAGCUAGUAGAGUCCAUAAAAUGAGAGAAUAUGCCGGUGACGUAAAAUGCGCACAAACCCACUUUAAACCAAAAAAUCAAUAAAGGGGAGGCCCCAUAUUUCCCUGAUUAGGUUUACUUGACCGUGAAUACAUGCAUCUCUCUCUUUCACAAGGAAAAAGAUAAAGUCGUUAUAAUAGUUAUACCUCUCCGCUUUAUUCAUCACAGUACCCUUGGAAGUUCGAUGGUGUUUCGCAAUAAGUCAGUGUCGUCGCACUUGGGAACGCGUUGAGAGUGUAGAGUGUGCGUGUAAAUUCAGUUUAAUUUGUGUUUACCUACUUUUUUCUUCCAAUUUUGGUGUGUUUUAAUUUAAAGACUAUUAUUUUGUGUGUGUUUGUUACUACUAACGUAUUAAAGAUGUCGCCAAAGAAAUUAGGUACGAAAGGGCAAAUAAUACAUAGCCAGGGAAGAGAAAUUAUUGCCAAUGUAGCAGAGUUUAUGCAUAAAGAGGCAGAAGAAGGAUUAACUAUUCCUUUAAAAUGCUUUAG